UACGUAGGGUGCAAGCGUUGUCCGGAAUCAUUGGGCGUAAAGCGCGCGCAGGCGGAUUAAUAAGUCAGGUGUGAAAUCUCGAGGCUCAACCUCGAAACUGCGCCUGAAACUAUUAGUCUAGAAUGUCGGAGGGGGCAGGGGAAUUUCACGUGUAGGGGUAAAAUCCGUAGAGAUGUGAAGGAACACCGGAGGCGAAGGCGCCUGCCUGGACGACUAUUGACGCUGAGGCGCGAAAGCGUGGGGAGCAAACAGG
rnacentral:rRNA from 1 species